rnacentral:rRNA from 1 species
CGAGUGAAGCGGCAAGAGCUCAAAUUUGAAAGCUGGCUCCUUCGGGGUCCGCAUUGUAAUUUGCAGAGGAUGCUUCGGGAACGGCCCCCAUCUAAGUGCCCUGGAACGGGCCGUCAUAGAGGGUGAGAAUCCCGUCUGGGAUGGGGUGUCCACGCGCCCGUGUGAAGCUCCUUCGACGAGUCGAGUUGUUUGGGAAUGCAGCUCUAAUUGGGUGGUAAAUUUCAUCUAAAGCUAAAUAUUGGCCGGAGACCGAUAGCGCACAAGUAGAGUGAUCGAAAGAUGAAAAGCACUUUGAAAAGAGAGUUAAACAGCACGUGAAAUUGUUGAAAGGGAAGCGCUUGCGACCAGACUCGCCCGCGGGGUUCAGCCGGCAUUCGUGCCGGUGUACUUCCCCGCGGGCGGGCCAGCGUCGGUUUGGGCGGCCGGUCAAAGGCCCCUGGAAUGUAACGCCUCUCGGGGCGUCUUAUAGCCAGGGGUGCCAUGCGGCCUGCCCGGACCGAGGAACGCGCUUCGGCUCGGACGCUGGCAUAAUGGUCGUAAGCGACCCGUCUUGAAACACGGACCA